GCCUAGGGGCUUCUGCGCUCUGUGUUCAUCUGACUGACUCUCUCUCUCUCUCCCCCCAACUCUCGCCUCGUGCUCGACCUCGAGAGUGCACAUGCAUGCCGCGU
rnacentral:rRNA from 1 species